AAAACAACCAUUAAAGCAAGGACUGCUACACUUGAGAGUCCAACAUCUCAGAAUACCUGAAGUUCCUCCCUUCUAGGAUGCAUCGUUACCUAAGCCUUCCUGAUUCCUGUGUACAGGCAGUGCCACAAGCUAAACCAGCAGGAACAUGGAGCUGUGUCAUGUUCUGACGUCUGCAUCACACCUCUCUUCAAAUUCUCGUUCUGCUUUGAUGAAGAGCUGAGUCACCCAGGAGGUGAGCAGCACUCAUUGGCCACACUCUCCUACUAUUCUGCACGUGCUGUGACAGACCCAAAGCCACAGGACUAAAUGACCUCGAGCUGAGAACUCUCGAACUGUGAUAAAUGUACUUGAGAAAUAAGACUAUUUAUGUCCUCUUAUCCCUUUGCAGUCUCACUAUU